AGUGAACGCUGGCGGUAGGCCUAACACAUGCGAGUCGAACGGCAGCACAGUAAGAGCUUGCUCUUACGGGUGGCGAGUGGCGGACGGGUGAGGAAUACAUCGGAAUCUACUUUUUCGUGGGGGAUAACGUAGGGAAACUUACGCUAAUACCGCAUACGACCUACGGGUGAAAGCAGGGGAUCUUCGGACCUUGCGCGAUUGAAUGAGCCGAUGUCGGAUUAGCUAGUUGGCGGGGUAAAGGCCCACCAAGGCGACGAUCCGUAGCUGGUCUGAGAGGAUGAUCAGCCACACUGGAACUGAGACACGGUCCAGACUCCUACGGGAGGCAGCAGUGGGGAAUAUUAGACAGUGGGCGCAAGCCUGAUCCAGCCAUACCGCGUGGGUGAAGAAGGCCUUCGGGUUGGAAAGCCCUUUUGUUGGGAAAGAAAAGCAGCAGGUUAAUACCCCGCUGUUCUGACGGUACCCAAAGAAUAAGCACCGGCUAACUUCGUG
rnacentral:rRNA from 1 species